rnacentral:rRNA from 1 species
UACGUAGGUGGCAAGCGUUGUCCGGAUUUACUGGGCGUAAAGAGCGCGCAGGCGGUCGUUCAAGUCGCGUGUGAAAGCCCCCGGCUCAACUGGGGAGGGUCACGCGAUACUGAUCGACUGGAAGGCAGGAGAGGGUAGUGGAAUUCCUGGUGUAGCGGUGAAAUGCGCAGAUAUCAGGAGGAACACCGGUGGCGAAGGCGGGUCUCUGGGCCGAUACUGACGCUGAGGAGCGAAAGCGUGGGGAGCGAACAGG